rnacentral:rRNA from 1 species
GACGAACGCUGGCGGCGUGCUUAACACAUGCAAGUCGAACGGUGAAGGGACCAGCUUGCUGGUUCUGGAUGAGUGGCGAACGGGUGAGUAACACGUGAGUAACCUGCCCCCUUCUUCUGGAUAACCGCAUGAAAGUGUGGCUAAUACGGGAUAUUCUGGGUCUGUCGCAUGGCGGGCCCGGGAAAGAUAUUGCUUCGGUGGGGGAUGGGCUCGCGGCCUAUCAGCUUGUUGGUGGGGUGAUGGCCUACCAAGGCGGUGACGGGUAGCCGGCCUGAGAGGGUGGACGGUCACACUGGGAAUGAGACACGGCCCAGACUGCUACGGGAGGCAGCAGUGGGGAAUAUUGCACAAUGGGCGCAAGCCUGAUGCAGCGACGCCGCGUGAGGGAUGGAGGCCUUCGGGUUGUAAACCUCUUUCGCCAGUGAAGCAGGCCUGCUCCUUGUGGGUGGGUUGACGGUAGCUGGAUAAGAAGCGCCGGCUAACUACGUG